UACGUAGGGUGCGAGCGUUAAUCGGAAUUACUGGGCGUAAAGCGUGCGCAGGCGGUUCGUUGUGUCGGCGGUGAAAGCCUCGGGCUUAACCUGGGAACGGCCGUUGAAACUGGCGAACUGGAGUGUGGCAGAGGGGGGUGGAAUUCCGCGUGUAGCAGUGAAAUGCGUAGAGAUGCGGAGGAACACCGAUGGCGAAGGCAGCCCCCUGGGCUAACACUGACGCUCAGGCACGAAAGCGUGGGGAGCAAACAGG
rnacentral:rRNA from 1 species